CUCCUUGAUAUUUUCCAAAAGCAAUCUUAUCCCUGGGGAAGAAAUCACGUACAUCUCCAUCUCUCAGCCAUCUCAUUUCUUCUCCGUUCCUGAUGACACUAGAGGGAUUAGUCCGCACAUCAGUGCUUGGAUCUUGCUAGCAGCCGAGCUACUUCUCCAGCAUCAAUGUUUGAAACCGUCAUAUCUGCAAUUUCCGGUCGUCGACCUCGCCCUGCUGCUUAUCCCGUCGCCAGCUGUACUUGUCUUCCUCACCGGUGUGCCCUCUCGGCUCGCUCGGCUUCAAUCUCCAUCGCGCAGCGGCAACUUCCCUUUUCUCUGGUGCCGCGCACGCUGCUGGUCCUUGCGAGUCCACCUUGCUCCGGCCAGUGACACCGGUGCCGGCUCGCUAAUGCUUGCGCGCGUCUGUCCACGUCGCCAGCAGCUCGGUCUCUACGUGUCUCCCUCAGCAUCUCGGCAUCGGAACUCCAUCAUGUCUGUAUGUGUGUGGAAGAACGAGAUCGAGGGAUCGGAGAAGAAAGCGAAGCCCAUGUGGUUUGUGCGUUCGUUUGGCUUGGAAUUGGAACUGUGGAUAUUGGAGAAGAAAUUCCGAGAAAUUAGUGGACGGUGAUGGUAAUGUUCGUGCGAUACUCAUCUGAUGCUCGACAAAAAGCCCGAAUCGGGAGUGGCUGCUUCGUCUUCUUCGUCGAAUGAGAAUCGUCGUGCUGGCCACGCGUCACCAGCUCGAUAAAAUAAAUCCUAUGGGUAUCUGGUUAAGGAUAGAAAUUGUGUGCAUCGCUCGCCAGACGUGUGUGGUCAUGGGCGUCAAGCGAAAACCAUCUUCGUUUUUCCGACUAUCGUGUCGGAUUGGUCAGGGUACGCUAGCUGAGAAUCGUGCAAAGCAAAGUUCAUAGCUCAAAACAACCCACAAGACGAUGUCGUCAGUCGGAUCAACCCGAAGAAGGGCAGACUGAACAAGUAUCGGAA
rnacentral:misc_RNA from 1 species